UGUAUUGAAAAGCCCCAAAGAAAAGAAAGUUUCUUGAAAUAAUUAGCAUGAGAAUGCGUUUGCCACACUCCCAAUUUACAACAACAAAAUUAGAUAAGAAGUACGUACCCCAUAAUUUGCUUCUAUAGGAUGCUCCUCGUCAAUAUGGC